UACGUAGGGUGCGAGCGUUGUCCGGAAUUAUUGGGCGUAAAGAGCUCGUAGGCGGUCUGUCGCGUCGAUCGUGAAAACUUGGGGGCUUAACCCUGAGCUUGCGGUCGAUACGGGCAUGACUGGAGUUCGGCAGGGGAGACUGGAAUCCUGGUGUAGCGGUGAAAUGCGUAGAUAUCUGGAGGAACACCGGUGGCGAAGGCGGCAUCCUGGACCGGCAUUGACGCUGAGGCGCGAAAGCCAGGGGAGCAAAGCGGG
rnacentral:rRNA from 1 species